GUCAGGUGUGUGGCUGCGGAUCUAUUAACGUUGAAUUCCAGCAAAGGAGACAGAAAUUAUUGAGGGACAGGUAGAGCAGGGUCAUUCAGAUGUACAGUGUCAGAAAGCAAAUUCAGACAGCGGUUGCCUGGAUCAACACCCAGUACUGGGAUGCCUGGAACCUGUGUGACGAGGUGAUCGACUGGGGAGACGGUGUGGAGGAGUGCUCACGAGCGACACCCCCACUGUCCAGGUUGGGGGGGAUAAGGAGGGAUUGGGAAGGGCUACUUGGGAAAAUGUGGAGGUAUCAGAAAGGGGCGUCCAAUGGUGAGAUGGAGGGGGCGGAGGCUGGUAUGAAUGUAAUGCAUAUGGUAAAUGGAGGUGAGGAGAAUGGAUGUGAGGUAGGAGUGAAUGUGGAGGAGGUUAAGGGAGAAGGAGAGAAAAGUAGAGGGAAUGCUUUGGGAUCUAUUGUGUCACAAGGAGGCAGAUCAUGGCUGGAAACCAUUCAGGAAGAAGGAUGUGAGGAAGAAGAAGAAACUGAGGUGGCGUUUCAGGAGGCACAAGACGCUGAGGUUGCCCAGUUGGACAGAUGGUGUCCAUGUGGCUGGUGUAAGGUGGGGUAGGAGGCUUCUGAACCAUGUGUUAGGCCUAGUGCACUUAUGGAUUGUGCUUGUUUGUUAUAAUGAAAUAAGCUUAUAAACUAAACAUAAUAUAUUUUAUAGGUACGUGUUUAUAUCAGUAUCUACAUGUAAAGGGAGCAGACACAGGAAAAAGGUAUUGAAGACCCUUGAUAUGAUAUUGCUGUUUUUGAUUUAGAUUCCAAAGUUAACCCUUUAUUUAAUUUAUCCCUUUUCCCCAAGUAGAAUGAUGCAUUUACUUGUAAUCUGUAUUAUUUUGCUUUGGAGUCGGAAGUUCCAAAAUCACCAGGUAAGUUAAUCGAUUGUAUGUGUUUUAACUACUAGACAGAUGUAAAUGAUAAGCCUUAAGAUUUAUUUUAAAUUAAUUUAUUGUUUUUUUGUAAAUUAAAAACAGGAACCCUCGUGGACCAAGACUUGAGGGCAUUUGUACCAUCCAGCUGUACAACUUUAACUGGUUCUGCAGUCUUUUUCUCCCCACAGCCUCUGCUUGUUCCCUUCUUCUCUUUCUGUCUUCCCUCCAGGAGAGCUCCUCAGGCAUCUCCAGCCUGUAAUUCCUGGGAAAUGCCACCUGCCACCCAUCCUUGGAAGCGUCGCCCAGUCUCAGGAUCUCAUACGUCACCAUUCAUCACAGAGUCACAGCGCUUGCAGACAUCUGGAUGAAAGGAAAAGCCCAUUUUUUAAAACUUACACGUUAAAUUUUCCUCUAAUUACCAUUUUAUUCUUUUAAAUUUCAUUAUGUUUAAUUACAUUUAGUAUGGAUUAAGGCACAGCCAGCCUGGAUUAAGGCAUCACCAGCCUGUCAUCAGACUCUCCGGACAAUGCCAGCCCAGAGGGGGCUGACCUGGAGGACAUUCCCCCGGAGGACAUGGAGUGGGAGCCUCCAGGUCUUGCCCUGAGUCCCACUCCGUGGUGUCAGCCCCGUGGCCAAAGUUUCCCCAGCCGAGGAGGCUAUCGCCGCGACAACGGCAGGGUCAACGGAAAUCCAGUCGUGGGCUGAGGUCCAGGAGGAAAAAACGAGGUUAUGCUACCCAGACCUGCCUCCUGAUCCAGGCUUGGUCCAAGAUGGUCUUUCAGGGGUCCCUGGUUUGGUCCAGUUCCUGUCCUGCCUGCCCCUCGACACCCUCCGACUCUGCCAACCCCUCGCCGUCUACCGAUGCUGUUCUUCCCUCGGCUGCCGCAGACGAGUGGAGCUUCUACAGACCCAGACAGGAUUCCAAAGGCCCCCCUGGCCGUGACCCUUCUGCGGCACCCCGGAGCCCAUCAGAGGCCCUGAACUGUUCACUUUACCUCCCAUGCUACCUAGUGUCUUGCCCCUCCUAAUACCUCAGUCUUUGGUCUGUAGUCUUGCUUCCCCGUGGCUCUCCCUGGUUUCACCUCUUAGCCCGAUUUCACUGUUCCAGCCCCCACUCCAGUCACUCUUGCUUCCCGCUUUAGGUUCCCCUCUCCUGGCCAUAUUAUUGUUGCACUGGUUCCGUUGCUUGCCUGUCUUGUCUGGUUGUGUCCUGCCUUGUCUGUCCCUGUGCCAUCUUUGGUCCUUUUGAUGCCCAAUCCCUCCCUUUUGUCUCCUUCUACUGUGUCCUUUGUUCCCACUUACCCACUGACACCCACUGUCUGUCUUUUGGUCCAUAGUCAGCAUCCCUGUUGGAUUACCUGGCCUGUCAUGAGUUGUGUCCUGGGGGUUAGUCUCCCCUGUUGUCCUUGGUUUUGCCCUGGUCUGUGUGUCCCCUUAAUGAUGCCCUUGUACCCGGAGGGCACAGGAUUGGGAGGGGGGCGUUUACUGUCAUGUCUUGCCCAUUUAGUCAACCUUACCCUCCAGUUCUCCUCCCUGAUGAGCCACGCUUGGUGUCUAUUAGUCUCACCCCAUGUUCCUCCCCUUCUGUCAGUCACUAUCAGCUUCCUUGUGUUUUCCCAUUCC